CCUCAGGAUGAACGCUGGCGGCGUGCUUAACACAUGCAAGUCGAACGGAGUUUUUAAACGGAAGUUUUCGGAUGGAAGUUUAGAAACUUAGUGGCGGACGGGUGAGUAACGCGUGGGUAACCUGCCUCAUACAGGGGGAUAACAGUUAGAAAUGACUGCUAACACCGCAUAAUAUAGCGAAACCGCAUGAUUUUGCUAUCAAAUAUUUAUAGGUAUGAGAUGGGCCCGCGUCUGAUUAGCUAGUUGGUGGGGUAAAGGCCUACCAAGGCGACGAUCAGUAGCCGGCUUGAGAGAGUGACCGGCCACAUUGGGACUGAGACACGGCCCAAACUCCUACGGGAGGCAGCAGUGGGGAAUAUUGGACAAUGGGGGAAACCCUGAUCCAGCCGACGCCGCGUGAGUGAAGAAGUAUUUCGGUAUGUAAAGCUCUAUCAGCAGGGAAGAUAAUGACAGUACCUGACUAAGAAGCCCCGGCUAACUACGUGCCAGCCGCCGC
rnacentral:rRNA from 1 species